rnacentral:rRNA from 1 species
UUCCGGUUGAUCCUGCCGGAGGCGGCCGCUUUUGGAGUUCGAUUAAGCCAUGCGAGUCGAGAGCCUUAGGGGCUCGGCAUACUGCUCAGUAACACGUGGAUAACCUGCCCUAUUGUCUGGAAUAACCUCGGGAAACUGAGAACAAGGCCGGAUAACCCACCAUGCCUGGAACGGUUGGUGGGUGAAGAUAGGAUGGGUCUGCGGCGUAUCAGGUCGUAGGGGGUGUAAAGGACCUCCUAGCCAUCGACGCGUACGGGUGUUGGGAGACAUAGCCCGGAGAUGGAUUCUGAGACACGAAUCCAGACCCUACGGGGUGCAGCAGGCGCGAAAACUUCACACUGCAGGAAACUGUGAUGAGGGAACUCCAAGUGCACGCACUUAGUGUGUGCUUUUUUCAACUAUUAAUCGGUUGAAGAAUAAGGGCUGGGAAAGACCGGUGCCAGCCGCCGCGGUAAUACCGGCAGCUCAAGUGGUCGUCGCUUUUAUUGGGCCUAAAACGUCCGUAGCCUGUUUGGUAAAUCUGUGGGUAAAUCAACCAGCUUAACUGGUUGAAUUCUGCAGAGACUGCCAGACUAGGGACCGGGAGAGGUGUGGGGUACUCUAGGGGUAGGGGUAAAAUCCUGUCAUCCUUAGAGGACCACCAGUUGCGAGGCGCCACACUGGAACGGAUCCGACGGUCAGGGACGAAGCCUAGGGGCACGAACCGGAUUAGAUACCCGGGUAGUCCUAGGUGUAAACGCUGUGAACUUGGUGUCGGGGAUCCGUCAUGGGUCCCCGGUGCCGGAGUGAAGAUGUUAAGUUCACUGCCUGGGGAGUACGGUCGCAAGGCUGAAACUUAAAGGAAUUGGCGGGGGAGCACUGCAACGGGAGGAGCGUGCGGUUUAAUUGGAUCAACGCCGGA